GCAAGUCGAGGGGUAACAUUGGGUGCUUGCACCCAGAUGACGACCGGCGCACGGGUGCGUAACGCGUAUACAAUCUGCCUUGUACAGGGGGAUAGCCUUUGGAAACGAAGAUUAAUACCCCAUGGUAAGGAGAGGUGGCAUCGCCUUUUCUUUAAACCUUCGGGGGUACAAGAUGAGUAUGCGUCCUAUUAGUUAGUUGGUAAGGUAACGGCUUACCAUGGCGACGAUAGGUAGGGGGCCUGAGAGGGAGAUC
rnacentral:rRNA from 1 species